rnacentral:rRNA from 1 species
CUAUACAUGACUCUGUGCAUAUCAAUAAGCGGAGGAAAAGAAACUAACAAGGAUUCCCCUAGUAACGGCGAGUGAAGCGGGAAGAGCUCAAAUUUGAAAUCUUCAAGGUUUUACCUUGACGAAUUGUAGUUUAAAGAAGUGUUUUCUGCUGAAGUUUUGGUAAAAGUUCUUUGGAAUAGGACAUCAUAGAGGGUGAGAAUCCCGUAUUUGACCAUUAUUUUCAGCUUUGUGAUACACUUUCAAAGAGUCGGAUUGUUUGGGAAUGCAGUCCAAAAUGGGUGGUAAAUUUCAUCUAAAGCUAAAUAUUGGCGAGAGACCGAUAGCGAACAAGUACCGUGAGGGAAAGAUGAAAAGAACUUUGAAAAGAGAGUUAAACAGUACGUGAAAUUGUCAAAAGGGAAGCGUUUGACACCAGUGUUGUUUUCUCGAAAAUCAAUUAAAAAUGGCUCGAUUUUGUAUUGCUUGAGACCUUAAAAGCUCACUGUACAUUUUUCGUGUCUUUUUUAAUGCACUUUUCGUUUAACAAGUCAACAUCAGUUUCUUUUGUUGUAAAAGGGUCAUUGGAAGGUGGCUUUCUUUUCGGAGAAAGUGUUUAUAGCCUUUGGCCUCUGCAAUCGGAGAGACUGAGGUCUGCAGCGUAGACUCUUCGGGGUUAGAUACAUUUGUGCUAAGUUAUAGCUUUUUAUAGACAACUUGUUGACUAUAAUUAGUCUUGUAGCUUACUCGCUUAUGCUAUUUUACCUACGCUUAGGAUGUUGACAGCAGUAUAGACUGU